GCCUAGUUAGCUUAGUUGGUAGUGCGUCUGCCUUGUAAGCGCUAGGCCGCGGGUUCGAGUCCCGCCCGGGGCG
rfam:Asian citrus Psyllid, Diaphorina citri - Florida Strain, whole genome shotgun sequence.